GGCCGGUAUGAAUGGCGUUACGAAGGCCCCGCUGUCUUAAGAGGACUCUCCAUGAAAUUGAAUUCGUAGUGAAGAUGCUACGUCCAUAUUGUAAGACGAAAAGACCCCAUUGAGCUUUACUAAAGACUUGCAUGGCUCAAAAGAAUUUGAUUUAAAUAAAGAGUUUAGAUAAUGUGGGAUCCGUUUCCGGUUAAUGAAACACCACUCUUUUAUUUUAAGAGAGCUAACAUUACAGGGAUAGUGUAAGUUGGAUAGUUUGGUUGGGGCGACCACCUUUUAAAAGGUAACGAAGGUGAGCUUAAGGUCCGUAGUUAAUAGCCGGUGGCCUGACUGCAAGGGGGACGUCUCGAGCAGACACGUCCUUAGGGAUGUGGACUAUAGUGACCCGUCAUC
rnacentral:rRNA from 1 species